rnacentral:rRNA from 1 species
UUUGAAGAUCAGCGGCGGACGGGUGAGUAACACGUGNNNNNCCUGCCUGUAAGACUGGGAUAACUUCGGGAAACCGGAGCUAAUACCGGAUAAUCCUUUCCCUCACAUGAGGGAAAGCUGAAAGACGGUUUCGGCUGUCACUUACAGAUGGGCCCGCGGCGCAUUAGCUAGUUGGUGAGGUAACGGCUCACCAAGGCAACGAUGCGUAGCCGACCUGAGAGGGUGAUCGGCCNNNCUGGGACUGAGACACGGCCCAGACUCCUACGGGAGGCAGCAGUAGGGAAUCUUCCGCAAUGGACGAAAGUCUGACGGAGCAACGCCGCGUGAGCGAUGAAGGCCUUCGGGUCGUAAAGCUCUGUUGUCAGGGAAGAACAAGUAUCGGAGUAACUGCCGGUACCUUGACGGUACCUGACCAGAAAGCCACGGCUAACUACGUGCCAGCAGCCGCGGUAAUACGUAGGUGGCAAGCGUUGUCCGGAAUUAUUGGGCGUAAAGCGCGCGCAGGCGGUUCCUUAAGUCUGAUGUGAAAGCCCCCGGCUCAACCGGGGAGGGUCAUUGGAAACUGGGGAACUUGAGUGC